UAGGGAAUCUUCGGCAAUGGACGAAAGUCUGACCGAGCAACGCCGCGUGAGUGAAGAAGGUUUUCGGAUCGUAAAACUCUGUUGUUAGAGAAGAACAAGGACGUUAGUAACUGAACGUCCCCUGACGGUAUCUAACCAGAAAGCCACGGCUAACUACGUGCCAGCAGCCGCGGUAAUACGUAGGUGGCAAGCGUUGUCCGGAUUUAUUGGGCGUAAAGCGAGCGCAGGCGGUUUCUUAAGUCUGAUGUGAAAGCCCCCGGCUCAACUGGGGAGGGUCAUUGGAAACUGGGAGACUUGAGUGCAGAAGAGGAGAGUGGAAUUCCAUGUGUAGCGGUGAAAUGCGUAGAUAUAUGGAGGAACACCAGUGGCGAAGGCGGCUCUCUGGUCUGUAACUGACGCUGAGGCUCGAAAGCGUGGGGAGCAAACAGG
rnacentral:rRNA from 1 species